rnacentral:lncRNA from 14 species
GUUUGUGGUCCUCAAGGUGUAUCUUCAGCCUGACUGCAGCCUCCUGCCACUGAAAGGAUGGGGUCGAUGCUCUCUGGAUUUGGUCUGAAACAAGUCAAAGGAUUUCCUGUUGCUCAGCACUUUACAGACACGGAGCCAGAGGCACCGAGAUGGACACGUUCUCUGAAGCAUCCAGCUGGGCAAACACUCACUUUCCCCUUUCCUUCCUGUGUAUGAGCCUCAGUGGAGGAGAACACCCAACUGCAUCCUUGCUCUGUGGUUUUGGAUGAUGAUGUUCACAGGAAAUUCCAUGGAGAGAAAACUCAGCUUUGGGAAAAGCCCAAAGGAAAACCAAUAAACAAGAAGGAGCAGGUUCCCCCCUGGAAGCCUUCCUGGCAGGGUGCAUUUCAGUGGGGUGGGAGGAUGCUCACCAUGAUUGCUGGGGCCUCUGGAGGCUGCAGAUACCCCGGAGCACAGCUGCUUGGACACCAUUCAGCUCAGCAUCUUUUAACAGAGAAGGGAGCACUGCUUGGAGGUCUAUGGAGGCAGUGAAGUCUCAGGCAGGCACACGAGGAGUGGGAAGGAUGUCUCUAACCACUGGAUGCUGCCUCCUGCAAAGACCAUGGCAGCGUGUGGCCGUCAGCACACAGCAGACCCCAGGCUUGCUGCCUUC